CAAUAGCGUAUAUUAAAGUUGUUGCGGUUAAAAAGCUCGUAGUUGGAUUUCUGCCGAGGACGACCGGUCCGCCCUCUGGGUGUGUAUCUGGUUUGGCCUGGGCAUCUUCUUGGAGAACGUAGCUGCACUUGACUGUGUGGUGCGGUGUCCAGGACUUUUACUUUGAGGAAAUUAGAGUGUUUCAAGCAGGCAAUGGCUCGAAUACAUUAGCAUGGAAUAAUGGAAUAGGACUUUUGUCCAUUUGAUUGGUUAUUGGACUUAGGUAAUGAUUAAAAGGGACAGUUGGGGGCAUUAGUAUUUAAUUGUCAGAGGUGAAAUUCUUGGAUUUAUUAAAGACUAACUUAUGCGAAAGCAUUUGCCAAGGAUGUUUUCAUUAA
rnacentral:rRNA from 1 species